GGUGCGGGGAGGGAGGGACUCCAGGCGUUGCCACCGGGAACCGCACUCACCUGGUCUUCCCGAAGUGUGCCUUCAAGCCCUGCGGCGGCCUGGGCUUAGGAAGGGCUGAGGGGCUCCCCCACGCUCCAGUUACAGAAAUGAAAGCUGGUGAGCCAUUUUGGGAUGCGUAUCCGAAGGGAGGGAGGCAAUGGAGCAAACUGAAGGCUCUCUCGGGGUUAACCACAGUGGUCAGUCUUUUGGCUCCAAAGUCGUCCUCCUUUCUGGCCCUAACCCUUGGGCUGGAAGGAGCCCCUAACAGGCAGAGAAGACCCCCGAGUCUCCAGGCAACUCCUUGUUUCCAGGCGUCAGCAGAGUCUACCACCAAGAAAUGACUCCUGGUGCCACUCGGAAGGUUGAUUAACAAGUGGCACGAGCCACUGUUCAGAUGAAAGGGGCUGAAAGGAGCUGCGCUGACAACCACUACCACCUUCAGAACUGCCAGCCUCCGCCCACAGCCGCUCCUAGAUAACUUGUAGCGUUGGCCUCCUGGGCCCUGCUGGAUGGCAAGUCCUCCUUCCAGCCAGCUGGCCCUCAAGAAAGGCAGCAGGGCUAAAAGAAACCUCGGGGAAGCUGCUCCACCGGGACCUGGAGACCACCCCCUAGCCAGAGUCAAAGGACAGGGAUAAAGAGAGGUAAAGGCCUGGAGAUUUCUGUGGUAACUUUAAACCCCAGAGGCAGUUCUAGAGGGGAGAAACACAUUAGAUCCCCAUCAGCAGAUCUGGAGUAUAAAUCAAUCCGACAGCGGCUUUUGUUCUGGGUUAAAACUUGGCAUCUGAAAAGUGGGGACCAGAAGAGCAAUGGGGUUAAUUGAGAAAGGCAGCACAGUUUGGUUUCCGUAACAACUGGGUCUUUGCUAGGACACUGGCCUCACUGGCCAGUCACAUUUCCCAGCUCCUUUCCAUUAGGAAGCAAAGCUGCAGCCUUGGAAAUAAGAGGCAAGUCAGGUACUGCCAGGUGUGAGCAGGGAAAGCUCCCUGCUGGAGCUGGCCAUCGAGGGAGACAGACAUUCAGGACCCUCCCCUUGAUCACACUGUGUUUCCAUUUCAACAAGGGUGAGCUGCUACACAGCCGUCCAGGCAUUUGUUCUGUUGUUCUGUGCUGUCAAAUUUCCUCAUGUCGUGCUCAGAACACUGUAAAAGCUGAGUAUCCUCGGCCCUGGGAGGCUGAAGCAGGACUUCCAAGCCAGCCAUUGACUGUCUCUCUCAUUUUAUCAGAAAGAUUAAGCAAGAUCUAAAACUGGCUCAAGUUCACAUAAACAGCAAGGGAUGAGUAUGUUUGGGGAGUAAGGAGCUGGGGAAGAUUCCAGAUGUAUACAUUGAUGAACACCUUGAUCCUUUUUCUUAAAGCCAGGUAAGGGCAGCUUCAAGAACUGGAAACUCCCCAGUUCAGCCUCUAAGGCCUUCCUACUCCCCUCUCUGCCCUUGGCAAUGAGAACAAAAGAGGGAAAUUUCAAGGUGAUUUCCAGGUUUCCAGAGCAAACCCAGUUAGUGAGGAUGAACGAUCAGGAUGUACAGUGUCAAGCAGGGUGCCUAGAGGCAGGGUGAAAAGGGCUGAUUCUCCAGAGACCCUGUCCUCCUCUCAGAGACCUGAGGCUGACCUGCUUGCUGCUGCUGGGGUGUGAGGGUAUGCCAAAGGGGCAUGUGAUGCAGCCAGGAAGAGAAGAAGCCAGAACUAUCAGUCAAGUCUCUGAGCAUCCAAGCCACCUGGCUCUGGAAGGGUUUCUUCCACUUCUCAUUUGGCAAAGGCUUUGAGACAGAAACGAUGUCCUCUGUGGUGCCCAGUACUGUGCGGAGCCUAUGCCUUGUCUCUAAAUAAUAGAUGCUUCUAGCUCCUGGCCUUCUGGGGACCCAGAGAGGAAGGUACCUGUGUCUGAAACAGGCCUGGGAUGGUAUGGGGUUUUGACUUUAGGUGUGUGUGUGUGUGUGUGUGUGUGUGUGUGUGUGUGUGUAUCUCCUAGUCAGUUCCUAACCCUGGAACAUAUAAACAGAGAAAAUUGUAUGCAGCAGCCAUGGGGAAGCUCCAAAGGCCAUCACCAGCUGAGACAUGGACAUAAGUCAAGUUGGCAGGAGUUAUCCUCUGCCACCUCCUGGCUCCCUCUUAUACCUGUUGCAAAGCUCACUCUACCCCUGAAAGUGUCAGAAGGGACCAGAGAUGAGUGUGAAUUUUGUCAGAGGAGUAGACAGAUAAGGGGUUGCCCCUGGAGGUACAAAAGGGUCCACUCACUUCUCCAGGGUACAGGUCAAAGAUACCCAGUUAUACAAUUAGAGAUUAGGACCCAAUGAAAUUGACCUGGGGGUAAGGCCAGGGAAAGGAAUAGAAGGAUCCAGAACUGUCUUUUGGACCCACCCCCACUCCUAAGUCUAAGGAGUUGAUUUCAGAGCUCAACAAUAAAUUAAGCAUAAUUACAGCCCUGGUCCACCAUCCUCUCUGUAUAGCAUCCCUCGAAGGGGUGGGGUAGUCCCAGACAGGAUCUGGACAAAUGUUCUUCAUUCAAGAGUGCCCAGGCUCCAGAAACUCUGGUUACAGGGGUGACUGCUCAAGUGCAAUAGGUGGGUCCUAGGCCCCAGUCACAUGACUGUCAGAGGCAAGACCAGCAGUGGCUGGCUCAAGCCAAGGUGAGGCACCAGGUUAGGUGCUGAGCAUGAGCCCGCAGGAUAGGGAUUAAGAAAGGAAACCACUGAUGCCCAAAAUAAGACUUUAAUGUCCAUAUUAAUGAUGGACAGAGCACAAGGGGUGGGGGUGGGGGAAAUAGUGACCAACAAGGAGGGCCCAGGAAGACCCAGGAAGCCAGAGCUGUAGAGACAAGAUCCCAGGAAAGAAGCUGAGCAGCCAGGAAAGUUCAAGGGUGGGGACGGUCAGGGAGACAAGGACCCCAGUGACAGUAGUCUAGCUUCGCUAGGCUUCAGCUUCCAUUCACCUCCUACAGUUCUCUUCCUGCUGGAGUCCAGAGCCUUGGGCCACUUUGUCCUUAUCACUUUAAAUGUCUUUCCAAGGGCUGAAGUACUGGCCCUGUGAAGAAGAGAAAAGCAGCCUGUAAUGGUCUAGUCCCAGUACUGCCCUCUAUCCAUCCCCAUCCCUGAAUUGGUGGUGUCCAUUCAACAUCUACCAGAGAGGCCCCUUUCAUACCAGGUGUUGUGACACUAAGACUCUUGAGGCUCAGAGACCAGAUACAGUAGGUCAACAGGCUACUUGACCGAAGUGUCUAGAAGGCUCAGCUUGGGUGUUGUCUCCUACUACUACCGGCCCAAGGAAUAUGGGAGGAAGAUGGCAUCUGUGCACACUCAGCCAGGCUCCAAUCACUUUGCUUCCUCUUCAUGACAAGCAAUAAUUCCUACCAGAGACCAGUGGAUCAGGGGAAGGUCCAAGUUCCAGCUUUCUGCUUCUCAGGGACUUUCGAAAUCUGAGCACCAAGUACAACAGCCUGUGACCAGUGUGUCAGCCUCAAGUUAGGAGUUAGAGGGAAUUGUAAGGGAGGAGUAAGGGAGAGGCAGGCUGGGAACAGGGAGUCCAGCUGUCUCUAUUAAGGAUUUGGGGGCUCAGGGCCAGCCCAGCAGGGCAUGCUUAUUGGAGAAAUGGGGUGGUGGUGGAAGGGAGUGUGCAGAUGGGGACUGCUUUGUGCCAAGGAGUGAUGCUGGCUGUAAGCCCUGAUUUUCACAUUCACUCAAGCUGCUUGCAUGAUGGGGCAAGCUAUUGACCCUCUGGAGCCUCUAGUUUGCACAUCUGUGAAACGGACUUCUAAUAUCCCUGCCUCCUGAGGGUUCUUCAGGCUCCAGUAGAAAAGGUUCUUCACUCUGUACCUAAAAUGUUAUUACUGCCUAGAUGAGCUGAGACAAUUCCAAGAACAGAGCUUGCUCAUAUAGAAAUGAGAGUGGGUGCUGUGGCUGUGAGGAGUGAUAGGGCACUGCUUAGCAUGAACAAGGUCCUAGGUUCAAGUACUACCUCCCCUCCCCAAACAAAACAAAACAGAGCAGCCUGGGAAAUGCUCUUAACAAAGCAAGAAGCCAGCUGAGGUCUACAGGACAAAUGGACAGGAGGUGGACAGCUGUUGCCUCUGGUGUCCCUUCCUGGCAGUUCAUGACAAACUGUGUUGCUCAGCUCCCCAGGGCUGAGUUUCUCUUUGCAUGUGUUAGCAGACAGGCCUCCGUAUAUUCCCUUCUGCAUCCCCUCCCUGGGUCCUGGAUUAAGAAUGACGGUCCCCUGAGACGUCCCCACCCUUCACCACACUGCCCACUCCACCCUCUCCCUUUGGAGCCCAGCAGCUGCAGUGGGGGUGGAUGGACUGCUGGACCUGCCAAGCCCCACAGACUGACCACUUCCCUUCCCUCCCAGGUCUAGGGGAUUAUGGGACACCACCUGGGGCUGACAGUGAGCCAGCAGGUCCUGCCAGCGGAUGUAGGUCUGGGUGGCUAGGUCCUUGAGUUUGGUCCGGUGCAUGGCCUGCGGGCUCUCCCGGAUAUGGGUGCUGAUGUGGCGGUCCAACUGCAUGCACAACAGCUGCAGCUCACCCUGAAGAGGAGAAGGAGGGGGCGUGACAUACGCCAGGCAUAUUCUGGAGGCCAGGGCAAGAAGAACUAAGGCAGAGGGGAGUGAUAUCUCUGAGUGACUGCUGGGAAGCAGGGCAGGAAAGGGAGGAGAGGGGAAGGGCAGCUUCUUGGGGGACAGGUCAGCAUCCCUUGGGAAUGGCUUUUGAGAGGAAGAGGCCCUGGCCACCUCGCCACUUGUUUCUUGGCCUCUCACUCUGCAGUUUCUGAUGGAAGGCUGGUUCCAUCCUGGCUGUUGUGGUCCCACAAUGCUUAAUGCAGUAGAUACUACUGGGUACCCAACACUUCCCUGCUUCAGAUUCUUGGAAGACUCACCCAUUGAUCUGGAGUGAUAUCCUGGCUACUGACCACCACCCCAGCCAGUGUCAGGAGGCUGUGGCACAGAUAACAGACCUAGAAAGAGAACACAACAAGGAUGCUUUCUUAACUCAUGGGAGCCUGUAAAGGGUCCUUGCUUCAGCACACGGCAGCAGCUUCCAGGAAAGCAUUUUCAAGGAAGGCCUGCAUGAACAGAACUUGGACUUAGAAUCGUCAUUGUCCCAGUAGGCUGUGCCCACAUUCCUUAUAACUAACAAUUACCCCUCAAAUGCCUACCACCUAGAAAGCCAUACCACCCAGCCCUCCAGAAAUGAAAGCCCAGAGGGUCUGUGUACUCCGACCUCUGCACAGCUGUUUGUUGAGUCACUUACACCUGUGGUCAGUGACUGAGGUGAAACUAUCCCCUGUGCAACCUCCAAGCCUCCACCUUGGAGAUGUGUCCCACAGUGGAUAAGCAAUGUAGAAACCCAACAGAGCACUGUUGGACAUCAGUCCUGACAACAGACAGGACGCUGGUGAGGGAAGGGAGGCCAGUGGAAACAAUAUAGGGUUGCAGGCCUUCUCUACCAAGUCCACCCUCCUUCUUGCUACCACUUCAGAGAUAAAAACCAGAACAAAGGCCAGGUAUGAUGGAGCAUACCUGUAAUCCCUAACUUGGAAGCAAAAGCAGGAAGACCACAAGUUCAAGGCCAGCCAUGGCUACAUAGGAAGACCCUGUCUGGAAAACAAAAGACAAUAUACAACAACAAUGAGCACAAAAAAGAGACAAAAAGAAAAACAAGAUAAUUAGGACAAAGGCCAGUUCUAUUGGGUGAGAGAAGGGACAGGCAUGUGACACCCUGGGACUCUCUACUGCAGGUAUUCAUUUAGGGAACAUCUGCCUGCUAUGCAAAGAAAGUGUGAACUAUGUAGUUCCUGACGGAGGGUUAUUGACACCAGCAGCCUGCUCUUGGCAUACCACCUCUAUCUACACAGAGGUCCUUCAGCCCAUCCCUCGGAUCCUCUUCCAUCUAAGGAGAAUGGCUGUACACCUGAGAUCUGUGGCAGAUCUAUAACCUUGGAGGAGAAAAAGGAUGGAAGAGGAAAGCCCCCAGGAUGGCCAGGAGGGCUCUCAGCCAGCACAAGGGCCCUCUGUGGAUGGCUUUCUUGCCUUUACAAUCCUGCCCUUUUGGAUAGCCAGAUGGUGGCCAAGAAACAACUGCAUUAUUUUUGCAUGGUCCAAGGAACCUUCCCGAGAACCAUUUCUGAAGAUACUCAACUUGGCACCAUGUACUAACUUCUUGAGGCCAAUGUAUCCUGUGGAGAAAUGCCACCUGGGCUCCCAGCAGCAGCACUUGAAAAGACAAAAGUCAAAGCCUCCAGGAGACCUGACUCCUGAUCAACUGGGGGUUAUGGGGGUGGUGGUGGCUACACAUGGCAACAAAGAAGAAACAAAGUGAAAAAGGGUGGAUCUCCAUGAGAACUAUCAUGGGGUGGGUAACAUCCAAGCUUUCCAAACUGGACUCCACCUGCCACCCUGGCCACCUCCUCCCUGGGCUGACUACUGCUGGCCAACUCAGCAUUAAACAGAGAGUCCUAAGGAA